GACGAACGCUGGCGGCGCGCUUAACACAUGCAAGUCGAGCGAGAACCAGGGCUUCGGCCCUGGGGAGAGCGGCGAACGGGUGAGUAACACGUGAGCGAUCUGCCCUCGACACCGGGAUAGCCCGGGGAAACCCGGAUUAAUACCGGAUGGCCUCUCGAGCCCACGGGCUCGGUAGAAAAGAUGGCUUCGGCUUUCGGUCGAGGAGGAGCUGGCGGCGGCUUAGCUUGUUGGUGGGGUAAUGGCUCACCAAGGCGACGAUCCGUAGCUGGUCUGAGAGGACGAUCAGCCACACUGGGACUGAGACACGGCCCAGACUCCUACGGGAGGCAGCAGUGGGGAAUCUUGCGCAAUGGGCGAAAGCCUGACGCAGCGACGCCGCGUGAGGGAAGAAGGCCUUCGGGUUGUAAACCUCUUUCAGGAGGGACGAAGCCACUCGGGUUAAUACCCCAGAGGGUGACGGUACCUCCAGAAGAAGCCCCGGCUAACUACGUGCCAGCCGCCGCAGUAAUAC
rnacentral:rRNA from 1 species